UACGGAGGGUGCGAGCGUUGUCCGGAAUCACUGGGCGUAAAGCGUGCGCAGGCGGCGCGUUAAGACAGGUGUGAAAGCCCCGAGCUUAACUUGGGAAUUGCGCUUGUGACUGGCGUGCUGGAGUGUGGCAGAGGGGAGGUGGAAUUCCACGUGUAGCAGUGAAAUGCGUAGAGAUGUGGAGGAACACCGAUGGCGAAGGCAGCCUCCUGGGCCAGCACUGACGCUCAUGCACGAAAGCGUGGGGAGCAAACAG
rnacentral:rRNA from 1 species